rnacentral:rRNA from 1 species
AUUGAACGCUGGCGGCAUGCUUUACACAUGCAAGUCGAACGGCAGCGGGGUAGUGCUUGCACUACUGCCGGCGAGUGGCGCACGGGUGAGUAAUAUAUCGGAACGUACCGAGUAAUGGGGGAUAACCAAUCGAAAGAUUGGCUAAUACCGCAUACGUCCUGAGGGGGAAAGCGGGGGAUCGCAAGACCUCGCGUUAUUCGAGCGGCCGAUAACUGAUUAGCUAGUUGGUGGGGUAAAGGCCUACCAAGGCGACGAUCAGUAGCGGGUCUGAGAGGACGAUCCGCCACACUGGGACUGAGACACGGCCCAGACUCCUACGGGAGGCAGCAGUGGGGAAUUUUGGACAAUGGGGGCAACCCUGAUCCAGCCAUGCCGCGUGUAUGAAGAAGGCCUUCGGGUUGUAAAGUACUUUUGUUAGGGAAGAAAAGGGAAGUGCUAAUACCACUUUUUGCUGACGGUACCUAAAGAAUAAGCACCGGCUAACUACGUG